UAGUCCACGCCGUAAAACGAUGAGAACUAGAUGUCGGGGGAAUCUGUCCUGUGUCGCAGCUAACGCGUUAAGUUCUCCGCCUGGGGAGUACGCCGGCAACGGUAAAACUACAAAGGAAUUGACGGGGACCCGCACAAGCGGUGGAGCAUGUGGUUUAAUUCGAUGCAACGCGAAGAACCUUACCUGCCCUUGACAUUGACAGAAUCCUGUAGAGAUACGGGAGUGCUUCGGCCUGGAAAACAGGUGCUGCAUGGCUGUCGUCAGCUCGUGUCGUGAGAUGUUGGGUUAAGUCCCGCAACGAGCGCAACCCUUGUCCUUAGUUGCCAGCACGUAAUGGUGGGAACUCUAGGGAGACUGCCGGUGACAAACCGGAGGAAGGUGGGGGACGACGUCAAGUCAUCAUGGCCCUUAUGGGCAGGGCUACACACGUGCUACAAUGGCGAUACAGAGGGUUGCCAACCAGCAAUGGUGCGCUAAUCCCUUAAAAGCCUCGUACGUACGGCGUAGU
rnacentral:rRNA from 1 species